ACAUGGAGUUUCUCUCAAAAUGACACCUGUGUGAGCUAUUGGAAAGGAAGCUCAUGGACUUACUUAAUUCUCAUAACCACAGGAACAAAACCAAGGAGGAAUUUCCUGAGUUUUGCCUGCAGCACAUAAAAAAGAGAAGAGGCACUGCUGUUUUUUUUUUCCCCAGGCUGCAGAAAAUCUCUGAGCUGUUCUUGUAGACUUCUCCAGUUCUUGUUCUAGACUGUAUGGAGCAGGCCUCUUAUGAAGAAGGAAUGCAGGAAUAUUGCCUCUCCAUCAGCACCAUCACAUGUGAGCCUUUUCACCAGUUAGCCUGUUAUGCCGUGAUUUGUCUGGAAGAGGAAGCAUCAAGCCUGCGUACCUUGUGGAACCGUACCACAGCAGCCAUCAGACCGUCCUGUCUGCCUCAGCUACGUUUGGGUGCAGACUGGAGGAGCACAUCAGAGUUGAAGUGGUCGGACAGUGACGCACCCCGAUACCUCUCCAGAUGGGACCCUGCCAUGUUGCGGAGCCCGUCGCAGCACCCGGCUGACAGGCACCUGCCUCACGUUUGGAGGUGCGUGCCUUGCUGA
rnacentral:lncRNA from 1 species